ensembl:Y_RNA Y_RNA Y RNA
GACUGGUGCAAGUGCAGUGGUAUUUACAACUAAUUGAUUACAGCCAAUUACAGAUUUCUUUGUUCCUUCUCUACUCCCACUGCUUCACUUGACUUAAA